rnacentral:rRNA from 1 species
UACGUAGGGGGCCAGCGUUGUCCGGAGUUACUGGGCGUAAAGCGCACGCAGGCGGUCCGAGAAGUUCUGGCUGACAGUGCUCGGCUUAACUGAGCAAGGAGUCAGAAAACUCUUGGACUGGAGGGCCUCAGAGGGACACAGAACUCCGGGUGGAGCGGUGAAAUGCGUAGAGAUCCGGAAGAAUACCGAAGGUGAAGACCGUGUCCUGGGAGGUACCUGACGCUCAGGUGCGAAAGCGAGGGGAGCGAACGGG